CAGAGUGCUAUGUGUCAUUUUACACAAUGUGGGAAAUUUCUUUGAAUUUCUCUGAACCUCGGGCCAAUCGCACAUCCCUGUGGCGACGACUUUGCAUGCGGAUGUCAUCCAUAGCAACUUUCGAUGCCAGUUUCUGCGCCUACCAUGGUGACCACGGGUAACGGGGAAUCAGGGUUCCAUUCCGUACAGGGACCAUGAGAAACGGCUACCACAUGGAAGGAAGGCAGCAGGCGCGCAAAUUACCCAUUCCCAACGCGGGAAGGUAGUGA